rnacentral:rRNA from 1 species
AUGCACUACAAGCUAAAGGUGUGCUAUCUAAUACAGAUCAAUGAACAGAUCUUGCUGUGUUGUGAUGAACAGAUCCUUCAAAGUACCAGUUGUAAUGCAGCAGCAGGCCAUAUAUUGGUACAAAGAAACCAUAUAAACUGGAUUCAGUCACAAAAAAGACCAUGUCCAUAUAAGUUCUCUUAUCUGUUGGUGUGGAUUUUCUUUAGGAACUUACUUGGUGUGAAAUUAUGUUCCUGCUUUAAUAGCCAAAUCAAUAUCAACAGCUAUAUAUUCCAGUAUUUACUCCUUUCCACUUCUGUUCUACUAAUGUGUGCCUACUUUUGUACAAUGCUCUUAACUGAAAUUGGUUGGUCAUGCAGACAGUAG